CUCAAGGACCUAAAGCCCAUACCUAAACGCGCGCAAGGAGAAGAUUCAAACUGAUGGCCUUGAGCGCUCAGUUCAAAUUUUGGCCGACGAUAGCCUUCCACCGCGCCGGUCAUCGCCUUCGGCGGCGGAGGAGGUUCAAAACAAACAAACCAAAAACCUACAGAAUCGUCUCAUCUUGCAGAAACCCAAACUAGACCAAGCUAAAGCUAAUUUCUCACGAAUCAAGAGAAUUGAGGGGAGUUACGGACGAAUCCUAAAUUCUAGAUCCCAAAUUAAACUUCGAAGCGUAACGAAACAGAGUCCAAAACCAUGGGGGUUUGGCUCCUCACAUCAUGCUUUAUAUCGUAGCAACAAUAAAUGUGCUUCGGCGUUGUUGAACCGAGGAAGAUGAAAUCCAAGAAAAUACCAGAGGAAGUGCAAUUGUCCAGGUUGCAGUUUUAAGAUCUUUUGUUGGCUUAGUUGCAAAGUAACAAAUGGCUUCAACAUGACCUGCAAAUGCAGGUGACAAUUCUAGUGGUUAUGUUUGGUUAAGUGUGAGUUUAUAUUCUGUUAUCCUUUGCUUAGGUGGUUAGGGAAGUUAAUCUGUUAGUUAGAUGGGAUGAGCUAGCUCAACUGUAUUGAGUUGGAAACUCGAGUUAGCCUAAUGUGAUGGGAAUUUGGAAAACUCUUUUGCUUGCAGCUAAGUCAACAACUGAGUUGUUACUCUCUCUAUUAGACAUGUUAUUUAGUGGAGAUGUUAAGUUGAAUGGUGAGUUGAGAAAUUGUUUAUAUGCACUUCCGUGUUAAUGUGAAUAUGACAGUUGAUGUGUGGCCUACUAUGAAUUAACCUUAUGUUAUUUUGGAUGAAUGCAAUUCAAUGCCCUACUGCUUGUUAUGCCAGAAUGUAUAUGUACUGGAAGUGUUUCCAUUUGCUUUGGUUGUUGCUAUAUGAUACUACUAACUUUGUUGUGCAUUGUUGAUGCAGAAUGGUGUUAGGGAAAUGCAGGUUUAGGAUGGUCAUGGCUACAGUUGUGCAAUUCCCAUUGAAGUGAAGGUAAUUGAUGGUUGCUGCUGAAAGAAGGGUUGGUGUUUAAAUGGUGAUGCAAGAAUAGUUCAGGUUUAUUGAACCUUAACUAAAUGGUUCAGGUGAUGCCUGAUUUUAUUUGAUGUGCUAACUGUCAUUCUUGUGGCACUGUCAAGGCAGUAGUCCUGCAAUGAUUGCUAUUGCCUAUAUAUUGGAGGUUGUGUCCUUGUAUCUUCCCAAAUGAUGCCUCAUGUACCCAGCACAAUAGGCAGUGUGACAAUGCUCUUACAACUUCUAUUCCUGCUAUGAAAGCCCAAUGUUGCUAUGUGUGGAUGAUUGUGUUGCAACGCUGCAAGACUUGAUGUGCUUUAAAUCUGGUUUACAACAUAUGGUUCAAUUGGUAGGCACUAUUGAGACUUUGUGUAUUGCUCCUGUUAUAUCCCUGUUAUGACUUGACUCCAUGGCAUGUUUUUUUGGUCUACAACAAGGUUUUGCUAGUGUGCAUUGCAAUGCUGACUUGGUUAGGUUCUUUGGUUGCAUUGCAUCUUGGUUACAUGCAUUAUUUUGCUGUUGGAUUAAUUAUGCUCUUGGCUUGAUGCAUGUUGGUUUUGCUAGCAGGUCCAUGAUGAUUGCAGCCUGUGUUCAGUUUAUGUUGUGAUGUUUUGUAGCUUUAUUCAGUUUUAUUACACUGGUUUGUAGUUCAUGUCUUUACUGCAUCUUGAAAUGGCUUUUGUCUUAUGUAGCAUAUGCAUUCUUUUGACCUUGUAUUGCAUUGUCUUGCUAGAUUUAUAAAGUGUUCUAAUGGACUACAGUAGGCUAGGUGAAUGGUCUUAUUGGUUCUGCAAUGCACUGCAUGGUUUGCAUCAUGAUGUAGCUUGGCUUGUGUUAUUGAUUCUGACCUUGAGAUGAGUUUAAGCAACAUGUAUGUUCACUUGGCUUGUGGUUGGUUGGUUGAACAAAGGUUUGCAACAUGAUGGCCAAGGUUGGAAUUUGAAGCAUUAUGCCCACAUGACAAGGACUCAAGAAUCAAGGGUUGACAUUUGACCUUAGCAUUGGAAUUCGAAAUUGGACUUAGGGUUUUGGGAUGAAAAGGGAUUGAGUUGACUUUGGUCAAUGUUGACCCAAAAAGUCAAUUGUUGACCAAAGUCAACAAUUGGUCAACAUGUAAUUUUUUUGCAUUUUUGUAUGUAGUGAAACAUUUUAUUAUGGAACUUGAUGUAUAUGAGGUUGACACUUUUUUUUAUGCUUGUAAUGAUUUUGUAUGAACAUGAUUUGAAAUUAAUUAAA